CUCAGACAGAGUCACACUCACCAACAUUGUUCCCAGAACCAGGAACGACUUCCUACAAUAUUCCCAUCAGCUCACUCUGGAUCCAAACACAGUGAAUAAUUGGCUCCGUCUGUCUGAGAACAACAGAGUGAUUACUUACACUAACACAAAGCAGCCGUAUCCUGAUCAUCCAGACAGAUUUGAUGUGUAUCCUCAGGUGUUGUGUAGAGAGAGUGUGUGUGGACGCUGUUACUGGGAGCUGGAGUGGAGUGGAGAAGAAGUGUUUAUAUCAGUGUCAUAUAAGAGCAUCAGCAGGAAGGGAUGGGGUUAUGAGUGUAGGUUCGGAUCUAAUAAUCAG